GAAUGAACUUCGACUACACUCACUAAGGUUGCUGGGUGACUUCUGUUCCUUGUUGUGCUCAGACUGAUGUCACCAUUUCCUUGUUGCCUGCCUGCUGUGAGCUGCUCAUUCUCAGCUUCUAGAGCAAUCUAUCUUCCUUCUUACAUGCCCCGCCUCCUUCUUCAAACCAGCAAUGGCCAGUUUUCUUUUCAGAUACCACAAAAGGUUUUCUGCAGCAACUAUUACCUGUCCAUCUCCCGAACGGCCAGCAGUAAAACAAGGAUUUAAAUUCUGAGUUCUUCGAUCCAAACCUGAGAUAGCAAUGUAUUCGACAACAAAAGGAAAGCCAAUAUGCAUCAGAAACCCCUCAAAAGAAAAGUCCUCUGCCACUGCGCUCUGCCCAGAACAAGGACCUGAUGCUAAGAAGUGUAGCCACCAUCAGGUAAGAAGGAAGCAGCCUGUGGGAGGAUGCAGGUCAACACGCCCUGGAUGACCGAGGAGAAAGGAAGGUCUGUGAUGUUGAGACGCUCAAGGUGCUGGCUUCGGAACUUAUUGUUAUUUGAGAAAAAAAUAAACCCUUAUUUGUUUAAAG